UACUCCUACGGGAGGCAGCAGUGGGGAAUAUUGCACAAUGGGGGAAACCCUGAUGCAGCGACGCCGCGUGGGUGAAGGAGUAUUUCGGUAUGUAAAGCCCUAUCGGCAGGGAAGAAGCGAGACGGUACCUGACUAAGAAGCCCCGGCUAACUACGUGCCAGCAGCCGCGGUAAUACGUAGGGGGCAAGCGUUAUCCGGAUUUACUGGGUGUAAAGGGAGCGUAGGCGGUGCAGCAAGUCAGAAGUGAAAGCCCGGGGCUCAACUCCGGGACUGCUUUUGAAA
rnacentral:rRNA from 1 species